GCUCGUCUACAUAUUACCCUCCCCAGACCCCACCUGGUGGGAAUAUACUGGGUAGUUGUUGUUGUUGUUGUUGUUGUAAGUGUGAGGGGGGUCGCCUAUGCAAUAAAUCUAAGAGCCUAAGUCAAGAUUACUGAUAUAAUAAUAACGAGAGCCAGCUGGGAAUAAGCUAGUUUUAGGUUCCCUGGACCGUUAACAUUUCCCUUUUGCAUCAAGCAGAAAAUACCAUUUUUCCCACACCAAAAAUCGUUGGCAUGCAUACAGUAUGGAUGAAGAACCAUCCAUCUUAAAAUAUUUGCGAAGUCCACGCAGAAAUGUGGCUCAUUGCUGUCUUUAUUGUGAGCUAACUCUCUUUUUCCAUUUGUUCACAAGAGACAGUUUUCACAAUAUAAUAACUCGGGCAAAUUGAAGGGUAGCCUUGGAACAAAGGUAAAGUUGUCUCCAUGUGACCUAUAGGUCACGGGUUCGAACCGUGAAAGUAUCCACUAAUGCCUGUAUUAGGGUGGACUGUCUACACACCCUUGGAGUCUGGCCCUUCCCCUGAC
rnacentral:lncRNA from 1 species